AACACCAAUUACGCUGAAAAUUAAUUUACUUCCAUUCUUCCAGUAUCCUUCUUCGUCCCUAAUAACAUUGAUUCCUAACUGUUCAAAAAUCACCCUCUCUUCAUCUAUUUCAUCUUCCUUUAUCCGAAACUGUUCAUCAUCUUCGCAUUCGUCUUCAGCAACCCUAUUUUGUUUUCUUUAUUUUCUUCUCCUUCAUUUUAACAGUUGCAAUAUUUCUCUGCAAACCAACAAAAACAGAGACCCAUGGCAACAUCGCACCAGACCCAUCAUCAUCACCAUCGAACAUCCUGUUUUACCCCUUCUCUGUAAACGGGUUAGGUUUUGCACUGUUUUCUUCGAUAGCUCAGGUGUUAUUCUGUCGUGUUGAUCCAUCUCCCUCACUUGUAACUGAAGAACACAAGAGGUUUUUGAUUAUGCCCACAUUCCGGGACGAGCAGUUCUUCAUCGUGGUCGCCAUCGGCAUGGUGCAAGAGUGACUAUUUCUGGGCACCGGGUCAACUUGGUUAUAUGGUGCAGAAGUUCAGUUUUUCGAGAGCUGAAGAAACAUCAAAACAAUUUUUCCAGCUGGUAUGGAGAUUGUCGACAUGAGAAAAAAGAAAGACAACAUCUGUCAGUUGCUGCUACCAAACUGGAAUUGCUGAAGAGGGAUGGUAUAUCUGCAUCCUGAGUCAUUAAUUUCUCUCAAGUUUUGCUUGUGAAGCUGUAAGAUAGCAAAAUUCUCACCCUUGCCAAGUGGCAAUUCUUUCUUUCUUCUUUCUUGUUGUUUCAGUCCUUUUGUGUUAAAAUUGUCCUAGGCUUUUGUUGGUUAUUAAUGAAGGGUGCAUCUUGUAUUCUCUCUUUCCAAGUUGGAUUGAAAUCUGUCUAAUGCAAUGUUGUCUUAUUUGCUUUCAAAA